GAUGAACGCUGGCGGCGUGCUUAACACAUGCAAGUCGAACGGAGCGCCUAUGAAGGAGAUUUCGGUCAACGGAUUAGGUUGCUUAGUGGCGGACGGGUGAGUAACGCGUGAGGAACCUGCCUUUCAGAGGGGGACAACAGUUGGAAACGACUGCUAAUACCGCAUAACACAUAGGUGUCGCAUGGCAUUUAUGUCAAAGAUUUAUCGCUGAAAGAUGGCCUCGCGUCUGAUUAGCUAGUUGGUGAGGUAACGGCUCACCAAGGCGACGAUCAGUAGCCGGACUGAGAGGUUGGCCGGCCACAUUGGGACUGAGAUACGGCCCAG
rnacentral:rRNA from 1 species